AGCGCAGGCGGUUUGAUAAGUCUGAAGUUAAAGGCUGUGGCUCAACCAUAGUUCGCUUUGGAAACUGUCAAACUUGAGUGCAGAAGGGGAGAGUGGAAUUCCAUGUGUAGCAGUGAAAUGCGUAGAUAUAUGGAGGAACACCGGUGGCGAAGGCGGCCUACUGGGCACCAACUGACGCUGAGGCUGAAAGUGUGGGUAGCAAACA
rnacentral:rRNA from 1 species